UACAGAGGUCCCAAGCGUUGUUCGAAUUCACUGGGCGUAAAGGGUGCGUAGGCGGUCGGGUAAGUCUGAUGUGAAAUCUCCAAGCUCAACUUGGAAAUGGCAUCGGAUACUAUUCGGCUCGAGGAAUGGAGGGGAGACUGGAAUACUUGGUGUAGCAGUGAAAUGCGUAGAUAUCAAGUGGAACACCAGUGGCGAAGGCGAGUCUCUGGACAUUUCCUGACGCUGAGGCACGAAAGCCAGGGGAGCAAACGGG
rnacentral:rRNA from 1 species